UCCGUAGGUGAACCUGCGGAAGGAUCAUUAUUGAAUUUAAUGAGGGGAUAUCUGGUUGUAGCUGGCUCAUGAAUUUGGGCAUGUGCACACCUAUCUCUUUCAUCCACACACACCUGUGCACUUGUGAGGCAGAUGGGGAAUUUAUUGAUUGUUUUUUAAGAACAAUUGGUGCUGGACCCUCUGUCUACUCAAUACAUAAACCCAAUUUAUUUAGAAAUGAAUGUAAUGGAUGUAACGCAUCUAAUACUAAGUUUCAACAACGGAUCUCUUGGCUCUCGCAUCGAUGAAGAACGCAGCGAAAUGCGAUAAGUAAUGUGAAUUGCAGAAUUCAGUGAAUCAUCGAAUCUUUGAACGCACCUUGCGCUCCUUGGUAUUCCUUGGAGCAUGCCUGUUUGAGUAUCAUGAAAUCUUCAAAGUAAAUCUUUUGUUAACUCAAUUGGUUCCACUUUGGUAUUGGAGGUCUUUGCAGCUUCACACCUGCUCCUCUUCGUUCAUUAGCUGGAUCUCAGUGUUAUGCUUGGUUCCACUCAGCGUGAUAAGUUAUCUAUCGCUGAGGACACUGUAACAGGUGGCCAAGGGAAAUGCAGAUGAACCGCUUCUAAUAGUCCAUUGACUUGGACACUAUUUUUAUGAUCUGAUCUCAAAUCAGGUAGGACUACCCGCUGAACUUAAGCAUAUCAAUAAGCGGAGGA
rnacentral:rRNA from 1 species